GCGGCUCGGGUCUGAGGUUGAAAGUCCAAGCCAGCUACGGGCAAAGGGAUCCGCGUAAGCUGUACCCGAGAUGCGGGCAGUGAUCAUGGCGUAGUUUAGAAGUAAGUCCUCCGGAAACCGGAUAAAGGCAAGUGCGGGGUCAAAGACCUGGUCAGCCGAGCCGC
rnacentral:ncRNA from 12 species